CGAACGCUGGCGGCAGGCCUAAUACAUGCAAGUCGAACGGCUCUUCGGAGCAGUGGCGGACGGGUGAGUAACGCGUGGGAAUGUGCCCUUUGGUACGGAACAACACAGGGAAACUUGUGCUAAUACCGUAUGUGCUCUUCGGGGGAAAGAUUUAUCGCCAUUGGAGCAGCCCGCGUUGGAUUAGGCAGUUGGUGAGGUAAAGGCUCACCAAGCCUACGAUCCAUAGCUGGUCUGAGAGGAUGACCAGCCACACUGGGACUGAGACACGGCCCAGACUCCUACGGGAGGCAGCAGUAGGGAAUCUUGCGCAAUGGGCGAAAGCCUGACGCAGCCAUGCCGCGUGUAUGAUGAAGGUCUUAGGAUUGUAAAAUACUUUCACCGGGGAAGAUAAUGACGGUACCCGGAGAAGAAGCCCCGGCUAACUUCGUGCCAGCAGCCGCGGUAACAC
rnacentral:rRNA from 1 species